AUCUGUUUGUUCACAGUUUUCUUUUAACAUUUGCUAUUCACAUUUCACCAGGUUAUUGUUUAUUUUAUCAUGUACAGUUUUAGUGAAUGAGUCAGGCUGCACAAGUGUUAAGUAUUAGCUUUGCGCAGUCUGACCUGGGUAUUAGCCUUCACAUUGCUAUCACAAGCGCACACCCCCCUAGACCCCCAGCUGUCCUCUUUUGCAGAUUCCCCCUUCUCUCUUUCUGAGUGUAAGCACUUGAACUUUCCAGAUACCAGGACACAGCGCAAGCUUCCCACAUAUACGUGGCUUCUAGAAUACGGAAAUAUGCAUUUUAGUUUUAGGAGUGUGAUUAUUUUGCCAUUCAAAUUUAAUUGCACUGUACAGUUUGGACAGUCACAAAGGAUCCCAUUGACAGAACAGUGACAGCUGCAAGUGGUCAGCUAAUGCUGGCCUCUCAAAGGAAAAAUUGAAAAGGAGAGGAUAAAGUGCAUUUGUUUAUGUCCCAAGAUUGUGGAACUCGUUGUACUUUUCUAUUAGAGAUGCUGCUUCGGUCAAUAUUUGAAACUACAACUAAAGAGUCGCUCCUUCCUGAACAUAUUGUUUGGAACAAGUCUACUGCUUUCCAGUUAAAAACGCUGUGCCGAAUUUCAACUGGCUCAGCUCAUUCCCUGCUUUGGUUGUUGUUCGAGAGUUGGCGGAUCGUCUCCACGGCAACGAUACCACACCUUGGCAAACUCUGCUGAACUAAUUACGUGCUGAUACAGCAAUUCCCAGUACAACUCAGGAAAACUGAAGGAUCAGUGGGCAUCCCCCGAUCCCACAACCGAACCAGUUUCCACCCAGGAACUCGGGAGAGGGUGUCAGUGAUCUACCAGCCUCUGGAGGACAAAGUCCAGCCCUGCAGAUGUCAAUCUGAGUUCACUAGACUGUAGCGUGAUGAGGAGAAACAGUCCUUGCCUUCCUCACCCGAGCCAGAAUCCCCAGCGAAGACCAUCGACUUCGCACCGCGAGGACAUGAACCUGCGUUCCUCUGACUGUGUGACUCACCCUGCUCACCACACGGCCGUGCUUUUACCAGCCAUGAACAGUACUGGUAGCUGCUACUCACAUAAGUCUGAUGAGUGGCAAUUUACUCCUUAGUUCAAUGCCUUAGUUCAAAACUUCACAUAGCUUUACGUUUAUAAUAGCACUGAUAUAGUCUUUACAGCUGUGCAGGGCAGGGUUGGUGUUAAUAGCCUACUUGCCCAAUGAUUGGGAAUGUUAAUGAUUCUAGUUAUGUUUGCAUUGCAAAAUGCUGACCCUGCAAGCUUUUAGUGACUCACAGUUGACUCAUAUCCCCCUUCCUCCCUCCCAUUUCUCUCCUUCCACUCUGUUCCGCCAUCUGUAUCUCCCUUUCUACACCUCCUAUUUUUUUUCAUUCUCGCUACAUAAGGCCCUGUAAAGAUGUACUGCUUUCUUAGCCCUUGCCCACAUUCCUGGAGGCUCUACAAGUGAGUGAAAGCAUGUGUGGUUUUUCUCUUUUCUUUUUUGUUUUUGUUAGCUUCAGGUUUGCAUUUUGUUUCAGUUUUCUAAAUACCUUCCCUAUCGGAGUUUCAGAAACUGAGGAGAUUUCCAGUUUGGAUGACUGAAGACCUCUACUUAUGAUCAAGGAUGACUAAGACAAGAAGUUUAGAAGCAUCAGCACUUAUAAUUGUGAUACUGUGUGUCAGCUUCCUCAGCUAUCAGUCUUGUUAACCCGUUUUGCACUGGAAAUAAAUACUUUUGUAUUC